AGGAUUAACGCUGGCGGCGUGCCUGACACAUGCAAGUCGAACGAGGCCGCAAGGCCUAGUGGCGGACGGGUGAGUAACACGUGACCAACCAACCUCGAAGUUGGGAAUAGCUCUGCGAAAGCAGGGGUAAUACCGAAUGUGGCCCGGAGCGGAUAUCCGCACCGGUCUAAAGAUUUAUCGCUUCGAGACGGGGUCGCGGCUUAUCAGCUUGUUGGUGGGGUAACGGCCUACCAAGGCGAUGAUGGGUAGCUGGUCUGAGAGGAUGAUCAGCCAGACUGGGACUGAGAACGGCCCAGACUCCUACGGGAGGCAGC
rnacentral:rRNA from 1 species